AAAAAGACUGGAAAAUUCCAGAACAA
rnacentral:tRNA from 1 species